rnacentral:rRNA from 1 species
GCUCCAGACUCCUACGGGAGGCAGCAGUGAGGAAUAUUGGUCAAUGGGCUUACGCCUGAACCAGCCAAGUCGCGUGAGGGAAGACUGCCCUAUGGGUUGUAAACCUCUUUUGUCAGGGAGCAACGCCGGCUACGUGUAGCCGGACUGAGAGUACCUGAAGAAAAAGCAUCGGCUAACUCCGUGCCAGCAGCCGCGGUAAUACGGAGGAUGCGAGCGUUAUCCGGAUUUAUUGGGUUUAAAGGGUGCGUAGGCGGAAUGCCAAGUCAGCGGUAAAAUCGCGGGGCCCAACCUCGCUCCGCUGUUGAAACUGGCGUUCUUGAGUGGGCGAGAAGUAUGCGGAAUGCGUGGUGUAGCGGUGAAAUGCAUAGAUAUCAGGAGGAACACCAGUGGCGAAGGCGGCUUGCUGGACGAUGACUGGCGUUGAGGCCCGAAAGCGUGGGGAGCAAACAGGAUUAGAUACCCUAGUA